rnacentral:rRNA from 1 species
UACGUAGGGGGCAAGCGUUGUCCGGAUUUAUUGGGCGUAAAGAGCGUGUAGGCGGCCAUACAGGUCCGUUGUGAAAACUGGAGGCUUAACCUCCAGACGUCGAUGGAAACCGUAUGGCUAGAGUCCGGAAGAGGAGAGUGGAAUUCCCGGUGUAGCAGUGAAAUGCGUAGAGAUCGGGAGGAACAUCAGUUGCGAAGGCGGCGACCUGGGUCGACACUGACGCUGAGGCGCGAAAGCGUGGGGAGCAAACAGG